rnacentral:rRNA from 1 species
UGGGGGAUAUUGCACAAUGGGCGCAAGCCUGAUGCAGCGACGCCGCGUGGGGGAUGAAGGCCUUCGGGUUGUAAACUUCUUUUGCUCUGAACAAGGCGCACUUUGGGGUGUGUUGAGUGUAGGGGUUGAUUAGCGCCGGCUAACUACGUGCCAGCAGCCGCGGUAAUACGUAGGGCGCGAGCGUUGUCCGGAAUUAUUGGGCGUAAAGGGCUUGUAGGUGGCUGGUUGCGUCUGUCGUGAAAGCUCAUGGCUUAACUGUGGGUUUGCGGUGGGUACGGGCUGGCAUGAGUGCAGUAGGGGAGGCUGGAAUUCCUGGUGUAGCGGUGGAAUGCGCAGAUAUCAGGAGGAAUACCGGUGGCGAAGGCGGGUCUCUGGGCUGUUACUGACACUGAGGAGCGAAAGCAUGGGGAGCGAACAGG